CCUGAUGCAGCAUCAUAGUUCCUUUACCGCCAAGCAAUCGUUUUUAAAUUUCCUUUUAUUGUUAGUUUUCCUUUUCGGUUUCAAGUCGUGAACUUUCCUUUCUUUUAUGAUUUCCUAAACCUAGAGGGACUAGUCGUAUGUGACCGACCCUAGGCGCCUAUAUAAAGGCUUCUUCUUGUUUUCUUUAGACACAGAUUUUGAAAGAUAAUAAACUAGAGUUUCUCUAAAGCCUUGCAUUGAUUUGAUUCCGUCAUCAAUACGAGAGCCUUGUAUCGAAUUUGAUUAAGUUCUUCGAUUCAAGAAGUCAGGUCUCUAAAGAUUUAAACUAAAUCUUUAGAUUUGAGCUGAGUUAUCAUUGUUACGCUGCGCCAGGUUGGUAUCAGAGCUUUGCUACGCUCCUCGAAAUUUUUUUUUCGUUCAUCAUGGCAAGACCUCGUCGAGUACCUGUUCGAACCGAAGCAGAAAUCACCCGUGAUGCAAUCGCUGAGCUUCAAGCUCAGAUGCAGACUAUCACCACUGCCCUUCAGAACCUUAACGUUCAACGCAACGGCCCCCCACCUCCUGGUGGUGCCCCCGCUAAUGAGCAAGCUGACGGAACAGAUGGUGAAGAAGACGAAGACGCAAACCUGUUUGCUGAUAAUCCUUUUGCUCCUCUCCAGAAUAACCGCGCCAUUGCGCGUGAAGCUGUUCUAGGCGUCGAUGACGGCCUAGCUUGGGAAAAAGGGUUCAAAACAGAGAUCCCAGAAUUUUUUGGCAAUUCCUCCGCUGAAGAACUCCUCGAUUGGAUUGUUACGGUUGAAGAAAUUUUAGAAUUCAAAAGAGCGCCGAUGGAUCGUUGUGUUCCUUUAAUCUCUAUGCGAUUUCGAAACAGAGCAGCAGCAUGGUGGACACAAUUGAAAUCAACGCGGGCUCGUCUCGGGAAGCCUAAAAUAAUGUCAUGGGAUAAGCUCAAGUCAAAACUUAAGAAAACCUUCUUACCUUACAACUAUGACCAGCUUAUGUUCCAACGCCUCCAUACACUCCGGCAAGGCACCCGUUCCGUGGCUGAAUAUUCCACCGAAUUUUUCUUGCUUCUCAAUCGUGUUGAUCUCCAAGAUUCUGAGCGUCAACUAGUAGCACGUUUUACAGCCGGACUACGACAACAAAUUCAGCACACACUCACUCUAUUCAAUCCAUUAACAUUGUCGGAGGCACAUCAACAAGCUUUAACUAUCGAAGCCCAGACAAAAUCAUCCUUCUCGUCCUGGACUAAUGGUCGUUCUGCUCGACCAAAUCAAGCUCAAACAUCUCAGCCAGCAAAUGACGAUGCCGUACCCGUCAAAACAGACACGGCCAUCGUUCCUGUUUUCGACAAUCGUCAAACUCGACCGACUUCACUUCGUUGUUUCUCUUGUGGAGAAGUAGGACAUCGACAGUCUAACUGUCCCACUCGCAACCGACGAGGCCUCCUUCUUGACACAGCUGGUAAUGACGUUGAAGUAAUCUACGAUGAAGACCCUUUGGAAGCACAAGACGAACCAGAAGUUCUGGUAGCAGACACUGGUGCGGCGUUAAUGGUGCGACGUGUGUGUCUUGCUCCCCGUGGAGCAGAUGUCAACCCACAACGUCAUAAUCUUUUUCAUUCAAAGUGCACCAUUGGCGGCAAGGUCUGCCGGUUCAUCAUCGAUUCAGGCAGUAGUGAAAACGUUAUUUCCGAGGAAGUAGUCAAUAAACUACAGUUACCGACGGAACUACAUCCUUACCCCUAUAAGUUGGCGUGGCUUGAUCAGAAAACCGACUUGCUCAUCACUAAACGAGCAUUGAUUUCCUUUUCGGUGGGUGAUGCAUACAAAGAUCAAAUUCAUUGUGAUGUAGCACCAAUGGAUGCGUGUCAUCUUCUUUUAGGAAGACCAUGGAUCUUUGAUCGCCGAAUCCAACAUGAUGGGUUCCUUAACACUUAUAGUUUCCGUUUCAACAACCGCAAUUUUACACUUCAACCUUCACCACCUGCCCAACACAACAGCUCCCUUUCUCCAGUUCUCAUUCUCAGUCGCAAACCGUUCCAACAAGCAAUGCGCGAAGCAGGGAUGGUACUGAUUCUACUCAACUCAACAGCACCGACACCGUCACCGCAAGUUCCGGAUGCAUUCGCACCUCUCAUUAAAGACUUCCAAGACGUCUUUCCUGAUGAUUUGCCUCCAGGGUUGCCGCCUCUUCGUGAUAUUCAGCACCGCAUUGACCUUGUUCCCGAUGCUAUUUUACCAAACAGAGCUCAUUAUCGCAUGAGUCCUACUGAACACGAAGAGCUACGACGACAAGUUGAAGAACUUGUUUCUAAAGGAUAUCUACGUGAAAGUCUAAGUCCUUGUGCAGUACCGGCUUUACUGGUUCCAAAGAAAGAUGGUUCGUGGCGUAUGUGUGUGGAUAGUCGAGCUAUUAACAAAAUUACGGUUCGUUAUCGAUUUCCUAUACCUCGCCUAGACGACCUCCUUGACCAGAUCGGCACAGCCUCAGUGUUCUCUAAACUUGAUCUAAAAAGUGGUUACCAUCAGAUUCGUAUCCAACCCGGAGAUGAAUGGAAAACAGCAUUCAAGACUCGCGAAGGACUUUUUGAGUGGCUCGUGAUGCCAUUCGGUCUGUCUAAUGCACCUAGCACGUUUAUGCGAGUCAUGAACCAAUCACUUCGUCCUUUUAUUGGCAAGUUUGUGGUGGUUUACUUUGAUGACAUUCUAAUCUUUAGCGCGUCACUUACCGACCACAUCAAUCAUCUCCGCGAGGUCCUACUUGUGUUGCGACGUGAUCAGUUGUUCGCCACCCUUAAGAAAUGUGAGUUUGGAUCCGAGAGUGUUCACUUCCUCGGCUACAUUGUUUCUCGUCAGGGUUUAGCUGUCGAUCCUGCAAAAGUAGACGCUAUUCAGUCCUGGCCUGUUCCAACUACAUUAUCUGAGACAAGGAGUUUUCACGGCCUUGCUUCUUUCUAUCGACGCUUCGUCCCACAGUUUAGUAACCUUAUGGCGCCAUUAACUGAUUGUAUUCGUCGUGAGGGAACCUUUUUGUGGACUCCAGAGGCAUCUCGUGCCUUCGAUACCAUCAAACAGAAACUAAGUUCUGCUCCUAUUUUGGCUCUCCCUGAUUUUUCUCAGGUGUUCGAACUGCACUGCGAUGCUUCCAAAUACGGCAUCGGCGCAGUCUUGAGUCAGCGUAGCCGACCCAUUGCUUUCUUUAGCGAAAAACUUAGUGGUGCUCGCCUCCGGUAUAGCACGUACGAUGUUGAAUUCUAUGCGGUUGUUCAAGCCAUCAAACAUUGGAGACAUUAUCUUUUUCAUAAAGAGUUCGUCCUUUUCACCGAUCAUGAUGCUUUGAAACACCUUAACAGUCAAGAUAAGGUCUCUGCACGUCAUGCUACAUGGGUUUCUUAUUUACAGCAAUUCACUUUUGUCAUCAAGCAUACGUCCGGCGUCUCUAACCGUGUUGCUGAUGCGCUCAGUAGACGACGUUCCGUGUUGGCUGUUUUACAUGUUUCGGUACAUGGUUUAUCCACCUUUGCGGAUUUAUACGAGUCUGACGCUUUCUUUGGGAGUAUAUUACUUGAUGUUCAAGCAGGUGUGUCACGUGACUACACACUACAUGACGGGUUUCUUUUCCGCGGAGAUCGACUUUGUGUCCCCAGCUGUAGCCUUCGUCUUCAGCUUAUCUCUGAGACGCAUGGUGCAGGUCAUGUUGGGCGUGAUCGCACGCUCCAUCUCCUCUCCGCUUCUUAUUUUUGGCCGACUAUACGUCGUGAUGUUGAAAGAUAUGUCGAACGAUGUGUUGUGUGUCAACAAGCAAAGGGUAGCGCUACUAAUGCCGGUCUGUAUAUGCCGCUUCCAGUCCCAACUCAACCGUGGACAGACAUUAGUAUGGAUUUUGUUGUGGGUCUUCCUCGUACACAACGGGGUUUCGAUUCAAUAUUUGUGGUGGUUGACCGUUUUUCCAAGAUGGUUCACUUCAUUCCCUGUAAAAAGACCACAGAUGCUCUCCAGGUUGCCACUUUGUUCUUUCGGGAAGUCUAUCGCCUUCAUGGCUUACCAACUUCAAUUGUUUCUGAUAGGGAUUCUCGGUUCUUAGGACAUUUUUGGCGUUCUCUUUGGAAGAUGUUAGGUACUAGUCUUGAUAUGAGCACAGCCUAUCAUCCUCAAACGGAUGGUCAAACUGAAGUUACUAAUCGUUCAUUAGGAAACUUGCUUCGAUGUCUUGUUGGUGAUGCUAUUCGAACAUGGGACUCUAAGAUUCCCCAAGCCGAAUUUGCUCAUAACCUUGCACUGAAUCGUAGUUCGGGGUACAGUCCUUUCCAAGUCAUCUAUGGCUUCCUUCCCCGCGGUCCUCUCGAUAUUUCUACUCUCCCAGAUCAGACAAGACGUCAUGGAGUCGCCGAUGAUUUUAUUGAUGAUAUUCAUGCGGUUCAUGACAAAGUGAUCUCCAACUUACAGUCUUCGACCGCAGCCUACAAAACAGCAGCUGAUUCUCAUCGACGUCGGGUUGUGUUCGAAGUUGGUGAUCAAGUCUGGGCGUUUUUAACUAAGGAUCGCCUGCCCGCCCAUGCUUACAACAAGUUGAAAGCCAAGAAAAUCGGCCCACUUGAGGUUCUUGAACGUAUUAACGAUAAUGCAUAUCGUCUUCAGCUUCCAGCGAACAUUAACACUGCGGAUGUCUUCAAUGUGCGCCAUUUGUCUCGUUACCUUCCACCGGAUCCCGUCCCUGAUUCGAGGUCGAAUCUUUCUGACCCCGGGGGACCUGAUGCAGCAUCAUAGUUCCUUUACCGCCAAGCAAUCGUUUUUAAAUUUCCUUUUAUUGUUAGUUUUCCUUUUUGGUUUCAAGUCGUGAACUUUCCUUUCUUUUAUGAUUUCCUAAACCUAGAGGGACUAGUCGUAUGUGACCGACCCUAGGCGCCUAUAUAAAGGCUUCUUCUUGUUUUCUUUAGACACAGAUUUUGAAAGAUAAUAAACUAGAGUUUCUCUAAAGCCUUGCAUUGAUUUGAUUCCGUCAUCAAUACGAGAGCCUUGUAUCGAAUUUGAUUAAGUUCUUCGAUUCAAGAAGUCAGGUCUCUAAAGAUUUAAACUAAAUCUUUAGAUUUGAGCUGAGUUAUCAUUGUUACGCUGCGCCA
rnacentral:lncRNA from 1 species